GCCGGUGUAGCUCAGUUGGUAGAGCGGUGCUUUCGUAAAGCAACGGUCGGAGGUUCGAGUCCUCUCUUCGGCACCA
rnacentral:tRNA from 1 species